GGCAAUUACAACACUAGUGUUGCUUCUGAUGGGGGAUUUCCAAGCAACUUGUGGACUACUUCCUCAUGGUAUAUCUAAUAAUUAUCUUCCUUUUAUGAGAUCUCUAAGCCUUAGCAUUAGCUACUUAAUUAAAUCGACUUAGUUUUUACCAAUUUUAUUAUUUGGUAGCUAAUUUCUUGCUUCUUGUGAUUUUCUCAUAUAAUUGAACAAGAUUGCUUUGAAUGUCAAAGUGAUAUUUUGAGCACGAAAGUGGUGCCCGUUCGCCGCAGCCUAAGACCAUUCAAAAGGCCACCACCCGCACCUGCUCGCAAUAAACCGGAAUCGCAUACGCCUGAGGUACAAGUGAAAUAAACAAACAUAAAACCCUUGGCAGAAACUCCCUGGAGCACUUCAUCGUUCCUAUUUUCUUGUAUUUUUAUUUGUUUUCUUAAGAGGAGUUAAGUUUAUAUCCCCCGUUCUUUUAUUGUAUUUUUUACUUUAUUAUUUCUUCUUAUAUUAUGAGCUAAACUUUAUGUCCCCUUACUUAAGUGCAACUUCUUUUUCCUGAUUCUAUAAAAUUUCUCUUAUGCAGUCGAGGUUUCUUUAAAACAAGUGGAACAAACCAACCAACCAACCAACCAACCAACCAAGAAACAGAAAAUUAAGCCACAAUAUUCAAGCAUGAUGACCAAUAGAUAUAAUUUCUAACAAGGUUCUAAAAGACGUUAGGCGCUAGUCGGGUGGCGGGCUGGGGCCUAGCGCCUAGGCAGCUAGAAGGGGUCUAGGUGGGCUCGUAGGCGAACUAGCGGAUUUAAUUAAAUCUAUUAUAUUUUGUAUAAAUAAAAGUCCGUUUAUAUUUAGGGAAUUGGUAUUAGCACUCCAAAAAUCUCAUUUGGCACUCCAAACUUUCUAUAAUUAGAAAGAAAAAUAUACUUAUGAGGAGUGUAGAAUGAUAUUUUGGAGUGCUAAUAACAGUUCCCUAUAUUUAAAAUAUAUAUUAUUUCAUCAUAAACUACAAAAUGAAAUGACAUAUAUAUUAUGAGCUAUUGGAACACAAUAAAAACAUUGCGAACGAGUAUAUAAUGUGUGUUCCCUUAAGUAUUCAACAAGUCUCUUACAAUUUAUUAAAGAAAAAAAGAAAAUGUAAUAUGAAAGUUAUCUAUUUUUUGUCUAAGUGAGUUGCAACCUAAGCAGGUGUCUAGGCAGGUCCGGGCGGGCUAGGCGGGUGCCUCAGUAGGUCUAGGCACCCUUUCUUAAUUUUCAAACGCCUAGGCAUUAAUCAGGGCAGUGACCAACCACCUAGCGCCUAGGCGGGGAUAUUUAGAACAAUGAUUUCUAUUAACAUUCACCAAUGCAAUUGAAUAAAAAGAACAUUGAAUUCAAAGAACAUAAAAAUUUCAACAAAAGAAAAAAGAAAAAAAAAGACACAUCCAAUAAAUUAAGCAAAGAUUUCAAUCGAUAGGUGAUGAGUCAAUAUUAUUCUAUAUUUGUACUCUAAUCUUAGUUAUAAUUUAUUUGUUAUUUUGUGAGGAUUUUGAUACUUUGCUUUAUCUUCAAUUGUAGGACAUGUGAAUCUAUUUUGAGCAAAAGGCGAUGAAACGAAAAAAAUUUAGAGUAGAUUUAUAUGUCUUUCAAGAUGAUUGUGUCUAAGUUUCAGAAUUUAUUUCCUAGUCGUUUGACCAUAGUGAAUAAAAGAAGGCUGAUCACGCAGUGCUGGCAGCUUGAUGUUUUGUUCUUGUUUCGGCCAUAAGUCAUUCAAGAUGACUUUUUUUUUUUUUAAUUUUUGGGAAAGUCCAUUUUGUAAAAGUGUAAGGAACGUUUUUAUCUUUCUAACGCCACCCGGCAUGCUUGAUUUGGAGCAAAUUUGACUAGGAAACGUGUUGAAUAUUUGGCUGCCCAGAUUGUCCAAGUUAGGGUAGGAAUGUUUUUCCUAGUUUAUUAUUUGGGCUUCCAAAUUUGUUGGGGACCUAAUUUAGAUAGGAUUUCAAUUUCUGCACACUAUAUAUAGGACAAGGAUUGUCUGCCCCAAGCUCUCCUAUGCCCUCCUGUUUGUGUGGUCACGGUUAAGCCACGUCAACAUUUUAUAUUACUAUUCAUUUUUGUCUUAUUAUCUCUAUAAAAAAACAAUAUAAAAUGUUGAUGUGGCUUAACCGUGACCACACAAAACAAGAGGGCACGGGAGGGCACGAGAACAAAGAGGGCAGACAAUCCUUGUCCCUGUAUAUAUAACCGAGUCUUUUUCUAGGGCCAUAAUGUUUUUAGACUUGUAGAUCUUCUUAGGAGCUUUUGAUGAUUUGUUACAAGGGUAUUUUCUAUCUUUUCUCCUUAAUAAUAUUUUUGCUUUCCAAUUAUGAAUAUGCGUAACUAAUUCCUUUUCCUAGGAAGAGUCCACGAGCUUUAGCAUGAAUAUGUAGUUUCUUUUCAAAUAAACUAGGAACGUAUUGAAUAUUUUGCACACUAUAUAUAUAUAUAUAUUUAGCCGAGUCUUUUUCUAGGGCCAGAACAUUUUUAGACUUGGAGAUCUUGGCUUAGGAGCUUUUGACGAUUUGUUACAAGGGUGUUUUCUAUCUUUUCUUCUUAAUAAUAUUUUUACUUUACAAUUAUGAAUAUGUGUAACUAAUUCCUUUUGCUAGGGCGAGUCCACGAGCCUUAGUAAGAAUAUGUAGUUUCUUUUAAAAAAUCUUGUUUGAUACAACUUCUAUUAGAAUGUCAUCAUGAAAUUGAGUAGGACUUCUUGUGAUUGUUAAUUAUAAUUUCACUUAAGGCGAAUGUCAUGUCUUAAGGGAUGCAUGAUUUUUCGAAAGGUUUUCACAAAGCUUAAUGAGUUUUGCAUGUUCAUGUUUGAUCUAAAUAUCACAGACGGAUUGCAAGUUUGAUAUAUGUUCUAGCUUGAAUGCCAUAAGUAGAAUAUGCAUUAGGAAAAUCUAACCUUCAAAGUUUGCAUGUAUUAACUCAUAAGUAAUUGAUAGAACUGCAUAUGAUUGAUUUUUUCAUAAAACUAUUUUAUUUUCUCUUUGCUGCCGAGUUUUUACUAAAACCAAUUUCAAUUAUUUUAUUUUAUGUUUCUUUUAAUUCACAAUUUCAAAUCUUGUUUUAAACAGUUAGCUAAGAAUUGGUUUUAUAUACAAAUUGUCCAUAUCAGUCCCUAUAGGUUUUAGCUACAAAUUGUUCAUAUCAGUCUCUAUAGAGAACGAUCUUACUUGAGCUGUUUAUACUAUUGUUGUAAACUAAACCAAAAAAACCAAUCAAGCAAUAAACAAAACACAACGAUUCCAGAGUUCCUCUAAUAUAGGAGUACCUCUCUAACAACUGAAGCUUUAUUGACUACCAACAAAUACAAGAGAACUAACAAACACAAAGUAUUCUCAAGUAUAUAAACUUAUACCUCUCAAAACUCUAUUCCACAUCCAUCCAUUUAUACUACUAGAUGUCCUAGGUUUACACAAAGUCCCUAGAAUAUAGGAAACCAAAUCCCAAACCAACUAGGAAACACAAAUCCAAAUAUCUUGCGUCCAAGAUAUCCUAAUCCUUUUUAGUUUAGGCAUAUUGAUUUAAUGUCAAAUCCAACAAUCUCUACCUUGGCAUGAAAUCCAUAACGAGGCGUCAACAACUUUUGUUGCUCCACCAUAUCGCAAGAUCAAACUUGCUUCAACUGCACCAAAUCCAGGUAGUGCUCGAACUUAGCUAUAUUAACCACCUUUGUCAACAUGUAAACUGGAUUACCUUCUGCAGCAACCUUUUUUAGACGAAUCUCACCUUCAGCUACCACUUCUCUUACAAAAUGAUAUCGUACAUCAAUGUGCUUAGUCUUAGCAUGAUGUACCUGAUAUCUUGCCAAAUAAAUGGCAGUUUGGCUAUCAUAAUAUACAUCAAACUUGUGUUGUUCUACACUUAAAUCUCCUAACAACCCAGAGUCCACAUUACCUCUUUGAUAGCUUCAACGAUCGCUAUGUAUUUUGCUUCCGUGGUUGAUAAUGUCAUCGUUGGUUGUACUAUUGAUCUCCAACAUAUAGGAUCAUUUGCCAUAGUAAACACAUACCCAGUCAUCGAUCUUCUCUUGUCUAAGUCUCCAACAAAGUCUGAGUCCAUAUAUCCAACUGGGAACUUAUCAAUUCCUUCAUCACAUCUUUCAAAACAAAUACAUUUGUCCCUCGUUCCAUGUAAGUAUCCACUUAGCAGCAUUCCAAUACUCUCUUCCAGGAUUAUACAUGAAUCUACUAACAAUUCCAGCUGCGUGUGCUAUAUCAGGACGAGUACACACCAUAGCACACAUUAAUCAUGCAACCAAAUUAGCACAUGGAAUACCAUCCAUCUUCAUCUUCUCUUCAUUAAUUUUGGGACAUUGUUCACUGCUCAAUUUGAAGUAAGCACCUAAUGGAGUUCUUACAGGCUUAAUGUCUUUUGUUACUCCAAACUUUUGUAACAACUUCUUAAGAUAUUGCUUCUGAGACAAACACACCAAACAUUUUUGUCUAUCCCUUGUGAUUUCCAUUCCCAAUAUUUUCUUGGCUUCAUUGAGAUCCUUCAUUUCUAACUCCCUUCUCAUUUGCUCAUUCAACUUUUCUAUCUCUGAAUUAUUGCUUGAGGCUAUGAGCAUGUCGUCCACAUAGAUUAACAAGUACACAGACGAACCAUCUUUCAACUUCUUACGAUAAACAUAAUGAUCAUAAUGACUUCUUGUAUAGUCUUGACCCUUCAUAAACUUGUCAAAUCUUAAAUAUCAUUGCCUGGACGACUGCUUUAAACCAUAAGGAGAUUUUCUAAGCUUACAAACCAAUCUUUCUUUGCCCUUCACUUGAUACCCCUCGGGUUGUCUCAUAUAAAUCUCUUCAUCCAAAUUACCAUGAAGAAAUGCAAUAUUCACAUCUUGUACCAAUUCAAGGUUGAACUGUGUAACUAAAGCAAGCAAUAUUCGAAUAGAGAAGUGCUUAACCACAGGAGAAAAAAAUCCCAUUGUAAUAUAUUCCCUCUUUCUGAGCAUAUCUUUUAGCCACUAGCCUAGCUUUAAAUCUUACUAAGCUCUUGUCAUCCAUUCCAUCUUUCUUUGCAUAAACCCAUUUGCAGCCAAUUGCUUUCUUUCCUCUAGGUAACUUUACCAAUUCUCAAGUCUUAUUCUUGUGAAGGGAGAGCAUCUCAUCGUUCAUUGCAUCAUGCCAUUUACUCUCUUCUUCACUAUUUAUUGCUUCUUCAAAAUUAGUGGGAAUUUCAGCCUCAAUUACUAGUAAUGCAUAUACCAUGCAGACCAUGCAAUCUUUAUAUCUCACAUGUAAGGAUAUGUCUCUUUUUCCCUUCCUUUGGGCUAUGCAAUCAUUUUGUAUCUUUAGUUCUUCUGAUGGUGUUGCUUCUUUGUGAUCACUCUCUUCAUAUUCAAGUUGAUCACCUUGUCUUUCUUCUUCCACAGCUUUCUUACUUGCCUGUGAAUUCACAAUUACUUGUUCCCCAAGCUCCACCAUCUGAACAUCUUCCUUCAAUUUCAUGUGACUUUCAUCGAAUGUCACAUCUCUACUUACUAUAAUCUUGUUCAACUCGAGACACCAAAGUCUGAAGCCUUUCACACCACUAUUGAAUCUCAUAAUGAUAACUUUAUUGGCUCGUGGAUCCAGUUUUUUUUUUCCUUCACAUGAAAGUAGGCAUUGCAUCGAAACACUCUUAGCUUAUCAUAGUUUUGAGCUGGUUCUCCAGACCACACUUCAAUGGUUGUUCUACCCUCCAAUGUUAUUUAUGGUAGUCGAUUAAGCACAUGACAUGCAUAACUCAAAACUUAUACCCAAAAUCUCUUUGGCAGCUUAGCUUGAGAUAGCAUGCAACGAACUUUCUUGAGCAAGGUCCUAUUUAGUUUCUCUGCAAUUCUAUUUUGCUGUGGAGUAUGUCUAACACUGAAAUGUCAAGUAAUCCCUUCUUUUUUACACACUUUGAAGAAAGGAUCAGAGGUAUAUUCCCCUCCAUUGUCACUUCCCAGUAUCUUAAUCUUCUUUUCAAUCUUGUUCUCCACCAUGUUCUUCCAUUCCAGGAAGAUGUCAAAAACUUCGUCCUUUUGUUUCAUCAUAUAUAUCUAUGAUCUGCGAGAGUAGUCAUCAAUAAAAGAUACAAACCAUAUGUUUCCACCUAAAGAAGCAUUCUUUACAGGCCCCCAAACAUCAGAGUGAACAUAGUCCAAAAUCCCUUUCGUUUGAUUAACAGUUGAGCCAAAUUUCACCUUUGCUUUUUUGUUUAUUUGUCAAGAAUGCAAUAUUCACAAAACUCUACCUUUCCAGUUUUUGCUCAUUUUAAACACCCUUACUCGAUUAAUCCUUGCAAUGCUUUUUCUCCUACAUGUCUUAACCUCAUGUGUCAUAACGCAAACAAGUCACUUUUAUCACUUUGCAUUUCAUCAGCUACCAUAGCCAAUCCAUUUUCCAAAGUUCUUCCUUGUAGCAUAUAAAGUAAGCCAUUUCGAGGCCCUUUCAUUAUGACAAGUGCUCCUUGAGCAUGUUGUUAUCGGAGUAAAACUUGUAGCCUUGUGACUCGAGAAUGCCUAGUGAGAUCAAAAUUUUCUUCAGAUUUGGGACAUACCUUCACCAUGCAAUUCUAGAAUCACACCAUCAUGAUGUUUCCAAUUCCUUGAGUUGUACAUGGGUUAUCAUCUCCCAUAUACACAGUUCCAUUCAUAACUUUGAAGCUUGAAAACUAAUGCCUUUGAGAAGUCAUGUGAUGAGUAUAACCUGUGUUGAGCACCCACUCUUUCGUAUAAUCCACAGUGCUCGAUGUAGUUAGGGCAUAGACAAAUUCCUCAUCCUCAACUUCAACCAUAUUUUCUUCUGAGUCUUCCUUCUUUUUAGUCUUUUCUUUGAUUUUAAGGCAGUCCUUCUUCCAAUGUCCUUUUUCAUGACAAAAAGCACACUCAUCUUUGUCCAAGAACUUCCUAUUCUUUGAGACUCCUCUAGUACGAGACAUACUAUUUUUCCUGUAUGAACCUUCUUUUUCUUUCGAUCUCCUUCUCACCAUCAAAGCUUCAAAGUUAUUCCUUUUUUGCAUGUCAAUGUGUCUCACCUCAUAAUUCAUAAGAGUACUUGAGAUUUCAUCAUACUUAAUUGUCUCCCUGCCAUAAAUCCAGGUAGUCACGAAAGGCUCAUAAGAUUUAGGUAAUGAGUUCAUCAAGAUUAAGGCCUUGUCUUCAUCUUUGAUUAUCUUUUCAAGAUUUGCCAGUUUAGCUAGAAGCUUGUUAAACUCUUCUAGAUGGCCAAUCAUCUUCAUGCCCUCUUUGUACUGGAACCUGUACAACUUGCUCUUGAGAUGCAUUCAAUUCUAUGCACUCUUCUUCAUAUAUUUUGUCUCCAAUGUAGCCCACAAUUAUUUCAUAGAACUUAUGUUCAUCACACCAUACUUCUGUUGCUUUCCCAAGCAUAGCUGAACUGUAUAAUAUGCAUGAGCAUUCAAUCUUUCCCAUUCUAUUUUUUUUCAUUGAAAACAACAUGUCUCCUAACACAACCACCAAACCUUGUUGUAUCAGGACAUCUCGAACCUCACACUGCCACAUAGCAAAGUUGUUCGUUCCAUCAAAUUUCUCAAUUUCAAACCUAAUACUUUGAACCGUCGUCUUGGUUCCACUAGUGCUAGACUUUUCUUCAACAUCAUCACUACUGGUGGAAUCACUAGUCUUCGUCAUUGCUUGAUAGUCACAACCCACAUCAAAACCUAAGCUCUUGAUACCACUUGUUCUAAACUAAACCAAAAAACCAAUAAAGCAAUAAACAAAACACAACAAUUCUAGAGUUCCUCCAAUAUAGGAGUACCUCUCUAACAACGGAAGCUUUAUUAAUUACCAACAAAUACAAGAGAACUAACAAACACAGAGUGUUCUCAAGUAUACAAACUUAUGUCUCUCAAAACUCUCACACACAAAACUCUAUUCCACAUACAUCUAUUUAUACUAAUAGAUGUCCUAGGUUUACACAAAGUCCCUAGAAUAUAGGAAACCAAAUCCUAUACUAAAACUAAAUCCCAAACCAACUAGGAAACACAAAUCCAAAUAUCUUGCGUCCAAGAUAUCCUAAUCCGUUUUAGUUUAGUCCUUCACUCGAUAGGCACACUAAACACUUACCAUUGAAACACGUGAGCAAGCUCUCCUUCACAUCAUCACUUUACCCUAAUAUUUCUCUUACGAGCAGGUUUGUAGUAGUUAUUUCUUCUUCUUCUUCUUUUUCUCGCUCUACCUUCUUUUUCUUUUUUGGUUGGAUCUCCUCCCUCAUUUUCUUUGCUCGUCGGAUCGCGAUGUUGGAACUCAGAGAAAAUGGCAAAAAGCUUUUGUACGUGUACAGUUUGAUAACACUAGAAACCUGAGAGAAUGUCCUUGUUUAUUGAAUGAAACUUGUGGCUAUUAAAUAGCCUUACAAUGCAAUGAAAUAGGAAAUAACAACCCACGAUUUACAUGGCCUAAGAUCGUGGUGCAUGACUAAGUCAGAAACAGAAAGAUAAGCUUGUCCCUCAAGAAUAUGAGGGAUUAUUUGCACGACUAGAAACUAAACCCUAGAAACAAGGAACCUUAACCCUAACGGCUAGGAGACUUCAAAUACUUUAACAUCCUCCCUUAAACUGAAUAUCAUUGAUAAUCAGUUUAUCCCUAGGUAUUUGCAGACACCCAUUGCUUCUCGCAGCUUUGCAAACACUUAUAACUUCAAUGGUUUAGUCAUAACAUCUGCAAUCUGCUCCUGGGUUGAACACUGUUUGAGCUCCACUACUCCAUCAUUGACCAAAUUUCGAAGAAAAUGAAACCGAACGUCAAUGUGCUUGCUACGUCCAUGCAUUACUGGAUUUUUCGAGAGUUUGAUGGUUGAGAUGUUAUCACAGUACACGACAGUAGGUUCAGACUGCUCACAAGUUAGACUUUUCAUAAUCCUCUUUAGCCAAACAACUUGACAAGCACUUGAAGCUACAGUGAUAAACUCAUAUUCGGUAGUGGAAAGAGUAACCACUGGUUGCUUCUUUGAGGACCACGAUACUGCACUUGAGUUCACCAUGAAGACAUAUCCUGAUGUACUUUUCCUGUCAUCCUAAUCUCUUGCAUAGUCACUGUCCGUGUAGCCAAAAAGCUUUUCAUCUCCUCCCUUCCUAUAAAACACCCCAAAACUGGAUGUUCCCUUCACAUACCUUAGAAUCCUCUUUGCUGCCUUCAAGUGAGUCUCCGUGGGGCGUUCCAUAUACCUACUGAUUAAGCUUACAACAAACAUCAGGUCAUGGCGUGUGGCUGUAAGAUACAUAAGACUUCCCACCAUUUGCUUGUAAAGAGUACCAUCGACUCCUACUCCUUCUUCAUCCCUUGUGAGUUUGAAACCAGGAAUCACUGGAUUUUGAACCAAGUUGCACUGAUCCAUGUUGAAUCUUUCAAGGACCUCGUGAGCAUAUUUUCGUUGGCUUAUAAAAACCUCAUCUUCCUUCUGCAACAUUUCAAUCCCCAUAAAAUAUCUUAUUUUUCCGAGAUCAAUCAUGUCAAUUUCAUCCAUCAUAGACUUCUUAAAUUGUUCAAUCAUAACUCCAUCGUUCCCAGUGUUUAUAAGAUCAUCAACAUACAAACAAAUAAUCAAUAUUUUACCUCCAUUUGCUGUUUUAGUGAACAACGUGUGCUCAUGAUGACAUUUGUUGAAGCCUUCUUUGACAAAAUAUGAUUAUAUGCGACUGUACCAAGCUCAGGGAGCUUGUUUGAGUCCAUACAGUGUUUUCUUGAGUCGAUAGACUUUUGAUUCUUCUCCCUUCUGUACGUAACCUGGUGGUUGAUCAACAAAUACUUAUUCACUGAUUUCGCCAUGCAGGAAUGCUGAUUUGACGUCAAGUUGGUAUAUCAACCAACCUUUCUGUGCAGCAAGUGAAAACACUAUGCGAAUUGUGUCCAAGCGAGCCACUGGUGCAAAUACUUCUGCAUAAUCCACUCCAUACUGUUGACUGUACCCUUUCGCCACUAGCCGUGCCUUGUACUUGUCUACUUCCCCAUGCUCAUUGAGUUUGGUUUUGAAAAUCCAUUUCACUCCAACAGAUCUUCCUCCUGGUGGUAGGUUAGUUAAUUCCCACGUCUCAUUUUUCUCUAUUGCCUUGAUUUCUUGAUCCAUUGCUUGCCUCAAUUUCUCACUUUUCACAGUGUCUUCAUAUGUCAUCGGAUCACCAUUAGUGAAUAAGGCUAGAUGAGCUAUAUUCACAUUUUCUUAAUCAGAGAGACCUUGACCAGUCUCAUAAUCUCUCAUCCAUGCAGGAGGUCUUCGUGUUCGUCCUUCUGGGAGUGAGGUGACAUUUGAAGUGUCUUCUUCGAAAGAACCACUGCUGUUGGACCCAUGUUCUUCUAGUUCUUCAGCUGUCUCAGAACCAUUUUCAUUGUUUUCCUCUUCUGUACUUGCUUCUUCAUUAACUUCCCAUUCUAAAUCAGCCAAUAUGGUUUGCUUGUGGACCUCAUCCCAACUCCAUUCUUGGUCUUCUUCAAAGACCACAUCUCUGCUAACAAUUAUCUUGGAAGAAAUAGGAUCAAACAAUCUAUAAGCUUUAGAUUCGUCACUUACUCCCAGAAAUAUGCAUUUGAGACUUUUAGCUUCAAGCUUCACUCUUUUGUUGUCAGGUAUGUGAACAUGUGAAAUACAACCGAAGACUCUAAAGUGCUCCACUGAUGGUUUGAGACCCUGCCACGCCUCUUCAGGUGUUUUGCUUUUCACAGCAAUGGUUGGACUUCUGUUUAGCACAUGUACUGUCCAAUUUACAGCUUCAGGCCAAAAUGUUUUAGGAAUUUUCUUCUCUAUCAGCAUGCUUCGUACCAUAUUCAUUAUGGUCCGAUUUUUCCUCUCGGCGACACCGUUUUGCUGCGGAGUGUAUGUAGCAGUUAAUUGUUUGUGUAUCCCAUUCUCAUUGCAAUAGUUUGUAAACUUUUGUGAUGUGAAUUCACCCCCUCGAUCUAUUCUCAGACUUCGAAUGAAUGCUCCAGUUUCCUCUCCACCCUAGCUUUAUAGGUUUUGAAGGUAGCAAAGGCUUCUAAUUUCUCUAUCAAAAAAUAAACCCAGGUUUUUCUACUAUAAUCAUCAAUAAAGGUGAUUAAAUACCUUUUGUUGUUGUUCGAGGUUGGGUUGAUCGGACCACAGAUGUCCGCAUACACCAACUGAAGAACUUUGGAAGCCCUCCAUAAGCUUUCUUUUGGGAAUGGAUCUCGAUGCUGUCGUCCUACCAAACAACCUUCACAUACUUGCUGAAUGGCUUUGAACUGGGGUAACCCUUCCACCAUCUUCUUUUGUUGAAGUACUUUGAGUCUAUUCCAACUCAGGUGCCCAUAUCGACGGUGCCAAAGAGUGGCCUGAUCUGUGGUUAGAGAAGAGAAGCACUUUGUCUCACUUGGUGGUAGGCAGUGAGCAACCACGAUAAACAUUCUGUUAGGAGUCAUUUUAGUUUCAAUGAUGAGCCCCCUCUCAGGAUGAAAUAUCUUACAUUUAUCUCGUUGAAUGAGCACAGUGAGCCCAUUCUCUUGUAACUGCCCAAUACUUAACAGAUUGUUCUUUAGUUCAGGUACAAAGAAAACUCCCGUGAUCACAUGAACUAUCCCUUUUACCUCUACUCGAACUGUGCCUUUGCCUUGAACAAUAAGACUCGAGUCAUUUCCCAUCUUUAUUGAUUCCUUGAAACUGCUAUCAAGACCAACAAAAAUGUCUCUCUUGCCGCUCAUAUGGUUGCUACACCCAGAGUCAAGAAACCAGAUAUGUUCAGUUUCACCUUUUUUGAAAUUGACAUGCGCCAUCAACAACAUCUCAUCUUUUGUUUCUGCAUAGUUUGCCUUUGGAUCCCAUGCUUUCUUUGGGCAUUCCAACUGAAAGUGUCCCAACUCAUGACAGUUAUAACAUUCUAGGGUCGAUUUAUCAAACCCAGAUUUGCCCCUUCCUCUUCCCCUUCCACGAUAGUUACUGCGACCUCCACCUCGUCCUCCUUGUUGAGUCCCAGAUGUGACUUGCAGCGCUUGUUCCUCCACUACAACAUGGCGACUAAUCCGUUGUUCAUGCACCAACAAACUGCUUUGAAGCUCAUCGAUGGACAAAGCAUCCAGAUCAUUUGAUUCCUCAAUACAACAUAUUACAUAGUCAUAUUUUAGAACCAUAGACCUUAAGAUCUUCUCUAUGAUCACCACAUCCUCCAUGUGCUCUCCGUGAAUCCUCAUCUUGUUGGCAAUGACGAGAGUUCAUCCAAAAUAGUCAUUGACAGAUUCUCCAGCCUUCAUGUGUAGCACUUCAAACUCCUUUCAAAUAGCCUGCAGUUGAGCACGUUUGACACGUGUUGUUCCUUGAUAUUUCUGCUUCAAGGAAUCCCAUAUGUCAUUCGCAGUGUCCUUCUUCAAUAUGGUCUCUAAGAUCGAACGAUCGAUGGCUUGAAACAAAUAGUUUUUGCACUUCAAGUCUUUCAGCUUCUGAUCAUCAAUCACCUUCUUCUGUGCUUCACUUGAGUCAGCUCCCUCUGCUGCUUCAGUGACUCCCGUUUCCACCAGGUUCCAAUACUCUUUGGAACGUAGAAAGUUUUCCAUUAGCAUACUCCAGUGAUCGUAGUGUCCAUCAAACCGUGGAAUCGCAGGUUGUACAAAGCUGCCUUCGGACGUCAUAUCUUUGUUCCUCCACACUAGUUCCCGUGUAGCAGGUUUUGGUCAGGCCCCGUGGUGGGGCUCUGAUACCAGAUGUUAGAACUCAGAGAGAAUGGCAGAAAGCUUUUGUACGUGUACAGUUUGAUAACACUAGAAACCUAAGAGAAUGUCCUUGUUUAUUGAAUGAAACUUGUGGCUGUUAAAUAGCCUUACAAUGCAAUGAAAUAGGAAAUAACAACCCACGAUUUACAUGGCCUAUGAUCGUGGUGCAUGACUAAGUCAGAAACAGAAAGAUAAGCUUGUCCCUCAAGAAUAGGAGAGAUUAUUUGCACGACUAGAAACUGAACCCUAGAAACAAGGAACCCUAACCCUAAUGGCUAGGAGACUUCAAAUACUUUAACACGCUACCCUCCUCCUUCACAUCAUCAUUUGCCCUAAUUGCAUCUCUCUUUCUUAUUCACUCUUUAACCAUCUCUAUUGCUUCCUCCAAACGCCUCUUCAGCUUACAUUCCCCACACCGAUACAUGUCAUGGGAUUUUCCAACAUAAAUGUACAACCCCGAUACGUCUACAUCCUCCAUCAAAAUCUUAUGCUGCUCAGUUUCGCAACCCUGCUUCAUAAUCAUGUCCAUUAUAUCAUUAUGCAACUCACCAUGCUCACGUGAUCUUUCAAUUCCAAAUGACGAAACCACAUUGGAAAGAAGCUCCUUGUCGGAGCUCUUUAAUUCCGGUUGGUCGAACAUGACUGGUUCCGCCUCUUGUUCAUGAUACUGAUCGAAUAGGAUUCAACGACAGGUUCCAGUAUUGGCAGAGGAAUGAACAUCGAAGUAUGAGUGGAUGACAUGGUAGUCAAACUUCACUACAUAUGUACUGAACCGACGGUGAGGAAGACUCGUAGUCACCUAGGUUGUUGAUAGUUCUUUGGCUUACAUCAACUUGUGUACACUACUCCUAUUAUUUGAAUAUAUAUAUGGUGAACUCUCUGCUUAAUUAAUUGAAGUGUUUAUCGUAUUGUUAAAUUACACUUUGUAUAAGAUAAAUAUUAUGACUGGCAUUAUGAUAGAGGAGAUCAAAUUUAAAGAUAUGCGGUUGAGGAUGUGGGAGCAAAAAUUACACCUUCACUAACAAGCCACAAGCAAUGAAAUAUGAGGAUCAAUCGUACAAAAUCCUCUGCUACAUUCCUGUUAGCUUGCUAAGCAAGCAAUUCCAUUAAUUUUUCAGAAUCUACUCAUGAGGGUGGGCGUGGUUAUACCAUGUUAAAUUUCAGGUAGAUGGGCUAUUGGCCCACUACAACAACAUUGAUACUGUCUCUACUUGGCCACCUGCUCAAUCCUUCAAGUGUGGGGUUUUAAUGCAAAAGGCAUCGGUGUUAGUUAAAGUGGGGUAAUUCUAUUUAAAGGGUUUGUUCUCAAGCCUUCUGGCCGAUGCAGGACAGAAGAAUUCUAACAUAUUGGUGUGGUAGUGUUGGCCUCCAUGGAAUCGCUAAUGGAAAAGAACGUCUCCCGCUAAAAGCAGUAGUCUUUAUAUGGUGCAGUUCAGUUGCAGUGAUGCAAGUUAAUUUUCUUUGAGUUUUAAGUUCUUAUUGAUAUACGGAGAAUGAGGAGUAUUACUUACCCUCAUUAAAUAAUUUAUUUACUUAUCGCAUGGAAGAAAACAAGGUUGCUUGAGAUGCAAGAAAAUAGUUCCCGUCCACUGCCGCAGCUUAAGAACAAAUUAUAAUGUCCAAGCCACCUUCACCAACCAGAAAUACAGGAAGGCACCACCUUAUUAACGCUCCCAGACAACCGCCUCCGUCACCGUUCAAGCAUUCCGCUACUCCGCCUGAGUAAUGCCACAUGGAUUUUUAUAAUUAAGUGGAAGAGAAAUGAAGGUGAUAAACUGAAGGAUAUAAUAGUGUAAUUAUUAAGCUCAAAUGCAACUGUCCCUAGCAGUUUAUGUAGCCUAGUCGAACUAAGCUGCCCAUAUGCACCCGUUGGUCGGAAACUCCUUUAUGUAGCCUAGUCGAACUAAGCUGGCAAGCUGUCGGAUUUACCGUUAGGUCAUACCCUCUUUUAACUCCCUUUGGGCUUUUGGUUUUUUAAUCUUUCACGGGCUUUGACUUUAUUUGAGUCUUUUGUGAUCUCUUUUCUGACCUGCACCAUUUUGUGGGUUGAAAAGAACUCUGUAUUAACAUAAAUAUUUAUGAGUGAUUUUGGUUAAGAAAAAGUUGGCUGAAGUCUUCUUAAUUAAAGCUUUCUUUAUUCUUAAAAGAAAAAAAAAUUAGAAUGAGGCACUAAUGAGGCAAGUGUGGACAUCCACCAUAUUUACAACAAAUGAGGCACUAAUGCAAGUGAGGAUUACUUAUUCGUCCAAAUUAAGAUGUCUCUCCUACUUUAUACGAGACUUGUGACAAUUCACUCUAACACCGGCCGGCGCACUGGUCAUUGUACCAAAUUGAGGGCUAGGGUAAGAAUCCAUUAUCCAAGGUGGAAGACUUUGACGUCAACCUUUUAAAAGUCCGAACAGAAACGUAAUUAAAUGUAUGUCUUCUGCGAAUCCAUUAUCCAAGGUGGAAGACUUUGAUGUUAACCUUUUGAAAAUCCAAACAAAAACAUAAUUGCAUGUAAUUAUUCUGCAAACCCCAGCACAUUAAUAUCAUCUUCAAUGAAGAUGUCAAAUUAAGAUGUUAAAUUUCAUUUUUACAGUUGAUGUGAUAAAAUAACAUCAUGUAAAGUCUAAUAUUCCAACCGAGGUGUCAAAUUAAAAUACGUUUUGGUUUCAUAAAAACAAACGAGUCAUAAUUUAAUAAUAAAAUAAUUAAAGCGAAGAAAAGUAAACAAAUAUGUGGGCCCAACAUUACAAUAAAAUUUGGCGUUGCCUGCAACCAAGUGGAGAAUAUCACUCUAUGUAAAAUUUUCAUUUGAAACAAGAAAAUCACUUUUUUUGUCAAAAUAGUCUACGUUGGAUUUUUUACUUUUCCUUUCAAUAUGCUCUUAGGUCUAUAAAUCUUGCUUCCCGUUUGCAUUAUCAAAAGGGGUGUGAUAUCCACACACACCCCAUUUUACUUUUCACACAUCCUUUUAAUUUUUGACCAUCGGAUCGGAUGAAUUAAAGAAUAUCAACGAACAGAAAUUAACAAGGGGUGUGUGAGAAGUAAUUUGGGGUGUGUGGAUAGCACACCCCUAUCAAAAAACACAACAUGGCAGUGAUAGGAUUUUUCAAAGUUAUUUUUUGGGUUCUUUAGAGAAAGACCCUUGAAACUCCUAUUUUCCAAACAAAAACCCACAUAAUAGUAAAUAUUCAAAUAAAACCCAAAAUUCAAAUAGACUACCAUGUAGACAAAUAUGUAACCAAUUAUUACAACAUAUUUAUAACUUAUGCCACAAACCCCUAAUUAUGUCAAUAAAUAUUAUUAGUCACCCUAAUUAUGAUUAGGAAUUAACCCAUAUGGAAAUUUACCUUUCUUGUAUCAUAAAUAUUAGUAACAUGUAUAUAUAUACACUAAUUUAUCCAUAUUCAUAAACAAUUAUGGGCACAAUUUUCAUAUGAAAAAAGAAAAUCCUUUGUAUAAUCAGUUAUUUUGCAUCAAAUAAUAUUGUUUGAUAAAAAAAAACAAACCAAUUAAUGUUCUUUAUGUUGUAGGUAAAUUAUUUUACAUAGAUUAGACAUUUUUUAUUUGUUAUUAUAUAUGCAUGUUAAAAAUAAUUUAUCUAUAUUUAUAUGUAAAAUGUAAGUAAAUUAAUUUUGAAUCAAAUAGCAUUUAUUUUGUAGGUAAAUUAAAAUAGUAGUUACAUUAUUUUGGUCAAGUUAAACAGUGCCUAAAUUAUUUCGUAAAAACUAAACCAAGACAAAUUAUCACCAUUAAAAUGAAACAAUAGAUACGUUAUUUUUUUAUUUGAUUAAACAAUAGGUAAAUUAUAUUGUAGGUACAUUAUGUUUGUAAAAAAAAAAAAGGAAAAUUGAAAGUAGUAGAUAUUAUUUUUAACCAAAUUUCCUUUAUUUGUAGGUGAAUUAUUUGCAUGCAUUUAUAUAUAUAUAUAUAUAUAUAUAUAUAUUAUAUAAAUUUCUUUUGAAUCAAAUAACAUUUCUUUAAUUUUAUAAGUAAAUUAUUUUGCAUGUAUUAUUACUGGACAAAUUUUAUAGUGCCCUUUCAGAUUUUCAUUUGGGUAAGAAAAUGACAAGAUUAAAUUAAAAUUGUCAAAUUUUAUGCAAAUUUGAAAAACAAUUACAAAAUCUUAAGGAAAGUAUAACAUUAGUGCUUUUUUUUUCCAAGAAGCAUUAACAUACAAUUUGUUAUGAUAUAUCAAUAUGCAAUGAUUUUAAACAUUAAUGCAUUUUUUUUAAUUAAUCCCUCCCUUCAAAUCUGCAUAGAAUUUAAUGUAUACAUUAAAAUUGUAAUUAGGGGUGUUUUAGGCAUCUAAAAAUGCAAAAUGUGUAAAGGCAAAUAGAAUUAAUGAAUUUGCUUAUGUGGAGCCUAGUCAUUGGGUUUUAUUCAGGUAAAAAGAUUAUGUCGGAUUUUAUGUAAAGAAACUUGAGUUUCAGGGGCUAAAGUCAUAUUUUUAGUUAUUUAUUUUUUUGCUACCGGAAGUGAGUGCUUCUUCUGCUACCAGAAGGGAAUGAUAAAGACAUACUCCAUUUAGUUUGUCACAUACUCUUAUUUAAUUAUGUUUGUCAUUUUUGUUUGAUUAAUUCAAUUUAAUGAUAGACCUAAUCCUUUUCCAUUUUUUUUAUUUAUCAAAUUGUAUUUGUCAAAUUGGCAUGUGCAACAUGAAGUUUUUAGUCUAAAAAAAAUAAAAAAAAUGAAGCACCCACAGUGCGCAUUGGAGAUUCUACUAAAUUGAGGUGUAUGGUAAUGAGAAAUUUUCAUUUGUCAUCAAGUUUUAAUUUCAAUGACACAAAACUUUAAUAAAUAAUUGUCACGUGUUAAAAAAUUACAAUAUUUUCAAUGAACAAAUGAAGAAUUUCUUGUAUGGUAGAGAAUAAAUGAAAAGAAUGGAUGGCGCGGCACAAAGCGAUGAAAGGGUUAUCAACAUAAUCCAUUAUAAAACAAAAUCUGGAAUCCAUUAGAAAAUUGAGAGAAAUCCCAAAGGGUUUUGUUUGAUUAAUUCUUGAAUGAUUGCUAUUGGUACGUCCAGAUGACUUAAAUAAAGAUUACAAACAUUUGGAACAACUCAAAUGACUUCUAAUAAUUAAAACAACAUUAGUUAAACAUUAAUCGGAUGACAAACGAAGAGUCCGAUUUUUAUUAUGAAAUUUUAAACGCUGUUUUGGAGGCUGAAAUGACCCUGGAUGGCCAAAAUCUAUCGUACGUCACAGCCGAAGCGAUGUGUUGGGCUCGUGGCGUAGUUUCCUUUCCAAAAAGGUAGCACGAGUCUAAAUCAGAGCUCAUAUGCAAGUUCCCACUACAUCCUUUUAUCUUUCGAAGGUCAAUUUUCUCUUUGAUUUAUUCUGUCAUUUAUUCUACAUCAAUGGAAGAAUUAGGGGUCAACCCUUCGAAAGUCCAACUAGAAACAGAAGCAUAUAAUUAUUGUCCAAACCCCUGCAAGUUAAAGUCUAUAAAUCUUGCUUUCCCUUUGCACUAUCAUUCAUCUCCACGUUGUGGUUCGAAGUUAUUGUUUCUGCUCCCGAAGAUGAAUGGUUCUUCAGCAAAGCUGGUGGCAAUUACAACACUAGUGUUGCUUCUGAUGGGGGAUUUUCAAGCAACUUGUGGACUACUUCCUCAUGGUAUAACUAAUAAUUAUCUUCCUUUUAUGAGAUCUCCAAGCAUUAGCAUUAGCUACUUAAAUCGACUUAGUUUUUACCAAUUUUAUUAUUUGGUAACUAAUUUCUUGCUUCUUGUGAUUUUCUCAUAUAAUUGAACAAGGUUGCUUUGAAUGUCAAAGUGAUAUUUUGAGUACCAAAAUGGUGCCUGUUCGCCGCAGCCUAAGACCAUUCAAUAGGCCGCCACCUACACCUGCUCGCAAUAAACAGCCAUCGCAUAGACAUGUUCCACUACCUCCCCCCCCCACCCCCAAAGAAACUCUAAAUCAGGCUUGACUUCCCACCCCACCCCCCGAGGACCAUCUGGGGCACGCGUCGUUCAUAUUUUCUUGUAUUUUUAUUUGUUUUCUUAAGAGAAGUUAAGUUUAUGUCCUCCAUUCUUUUCUUGUAUUUUUACUUUAUUAUUUCUACUUAUAUUAUGAGCUAAGGUUUAUGUCCCCUUAACUAAGUGUAAUUUCUUUUUUUUUUUUCUGAUUCAAUAAAAUUUCUCUUGUAUCGUUGAGGUUUGCUAAAAAAAAAUGGAACAAACCAAGCAACCAACCAAGAAACUAAACAACAGAAAAUUCAGCCAUAAUAUUCAAGCAAGAUUACCGAUAGAUAUAAUUGAAUUCUAAUAUCAUUCACCAAUGCAAUUGAAUAAAAAAAAUUGAAUUCAAAUAACUUCAAAUUUCAACCAAAGAAAAAAAAGGACACAUCCAAUUUAUUAAGCAAAGAUUUCAAUCGAUAGGUGAUGAGUCGAUAUUAUUCUAUAUUUUUACCCUAAUCUUAGUUAUAAUUUAUUUGUUAUUUUGUAAGAAUUUUGAUACUUUACUUUAUAUUUCAAUUGUAGGACAUGUGAAUCUAUUUUGAGCAAAAAACGAUGAAAUGAAAAUUUUGUGGAGUAGAUUCAUGCGUCUUUCAAGAUGAUUGUGUCGAAAUUUCAUAAUUUAUUUCUCAGCCGUUUGACCGUAGUGAAUAAAAGAAGGCUAAUCGCACAGUGCUGGCAACUUGACGUUUUGUUCUUGUUUGGGCCAUAAGUAAUUCAAGAUGAACUUUUUUUUUAGAAAAGUCCUUUUUAUAAAAUAUAAGGUACAAUUUUAUCUUUCUAACGCCACCUGGCAGGCCUGAUUUUGAGCAGAUUCGAUUAGGGAACAUGUUGAAUACUUGGUUGCCCAGAUUGUCCUAGGAUAGGAUUGUAUUUCCUAGUUUAUUAUUUUAAUUGGGUUUCCAAAUUUGUUGGAAGACCUAAUUUAGAUAAUUUGUGCACACUAUAUAUAUUUAGCCGGGUCUUUUUCUAGGGCCAGAAUGUUUUUAGACUUGGAGAUCUCAGCUUAGGAGCUUUUGACGAUUUGUUACAAGGGUGUUUUCUAUCUUUUCUUCUUAAUAAUAUUUGUACUUUUCAAUUAUAAAUAUGCGUAACUACUUCCUUUUGCUAUGGCGAGUCCACGAGCCUUGGUAUGAAUAUGUAGUUUCUUUUCAAUUUGUUUAUGGCAUAUUGCUUUGAAUUAUUAAUCAUCAUGUUUAAACCAUCUAUGUGUCUUAAUGUUUGAUCACCAUUAGGAUGUUUAGACAAGUAAUUUGAUGCAAUUCUGUUGGAAUGUCAUCUUGAAAUUGAGAAGGGUUUCUUGUGAUUGAUAAUUGUAAUUUCACUUAAGGUGAAUGCCACGUCGUAAGUGUUGCAUGAUUUUCAAAAGAUUUUUCACAAAGUUUAAUGAGUCUUGCAUGCUCAUAUUUGAUAUGAAUAUCACAGACGGAUUGCAUGUUUAAUAUACGUUCAAACUUGAAUGCCAUAAGUAAAAUAUGCAUUAGAAAGACCUAACCUCCAUGGUUUGCAUGUAUCAACUCAUACGUAAUUGAUAGAACUGCAUAUGAUUGAUUUUUUCUUCAAAACUAUUUAAUUUUCUCUUUGCUGCCGAGUUUUUACUAAAACCAAUUUCAAUUCUUUUAUUUUCUGUUUCUUUUAUAUUCUCAAUUUCAAAUCUUAUUCAAAUCUUGUUUUAAAUAGUCAGCUAAGAAUCGGUUUUAUAUACAAUUUAUUCAUAUUAGUUAUGUGAGUUUUAAAUACAAAUGGUUCAUACUACAAUUACUUGUUUUCUUGCAAGUCCAUCACCGUUCAAGCAUUCCGCUAAUCCGCCCGAGUGAUCACAUGGAUUUUUAUAUUAAUCGGAAGAGAAAAUUGCCUACGUAUAUAGUACCUGGAUGAGAACCAUUAGUGUUUCCAUUUGGCUUUGGAGUCUUAAUCUCUACAAAACCACUAAAGCCAAAGUAAAUGAAUGUGAUACGGUCGGUUUUUUUUUUUAUAUCUAGUAGUCAUAUAAGAAAUUUGGUGUAAAAUUAUAAAUGAGGAAUGAAAAGUAGGAAAUGUUGAAUCCAACGAUGUUAAGGGGUUGUU
rnacentral:lncRNA from 1 species